UUAUGAAUUAAGAUUAAUUUUACAAUGAAAAUGUAGGGUUUUUUUUAAACUACAUUAGUAGAAAU
rnacentral:tRNA from 1 species